CUCGAUGGUAGUGUAUUGGACAACCAUGGCAUUCNCNGNNUAUCGGGGGAUUAGGGUUCGAUUCCGGAGAGGGAGCCUGAGAAACGGCUACCACUUCUACGGAAGGCAGCAGGCGCGAAAAUUAUCCAAUCCUGAUUCAGGGAGGUAGUGAAAGAAAUAAUGAACUAGGAUUUAUCCUGGGGUCAGAAUGGGCUUGAUUUGCAAACUUUAUUUAGCGAGGAACAAUUGGAGGGCAAGUCUGGUGCCAGCAGCCGCGGUAAUUCCAGCUCCAAUAGUGUAUAUUAAUGUUCCUGCAGUUAUUCGAUGCUCGUAGUUGGAUUUCUGGAGGCUGAGACAGGAAGGCAGCCAAGGUUGUCGCCAGUCUCUUCCUUCAUCCACCUGUUAACGUUGUCCGG
rnacentral:rRNA from 1 species